rnacentral:rRNA from 1 species
UUUAAAGAGGUACGUGAGCUGGGUUUAGAACGUCGUGAGACAGUUCGGUCCCUAUCUGCCGUGGGUGUAGGAUACUUGAGAGGAGUUGCCCCUAGUACGAGAGGACCGGGGUGAACGAUCCACUGGUGGACCUGUUGUUGCGCCAGCAGCAGUGCAGGGUAGCUAUGAUCGGACAGGAUAACCGCUGAAGGCAUCUAAGCGGGAAGCCCCCCUCAAAACAAGGUAUCCCUGAGGACCGUGGAAGACCACCACGUCAAUAGGCCGGAGAUGUAAGCAUGGUAACAGUUCAGUUGACCGGUACUAAUCGCCCGAUAGGCUUGAUCUGAUCCAGUAACAGACAGUGAAAACACAAAACGAACCAAAAGCAAAAAUUGACUAAUUGUAUCUCUCAUAAACAAAUCGAGGAUUUUCCUCGGU